UACGGAGGGUACAAGCGUUGUUCGGAAUUAGUUGGGCGUAAAGCGCGUGUAGGCGGUCUGUUAAGUCUGAUGUGAAAGCCCCGGGCUCAACCCGGGAAGUGCAUUGGAUACUGGCAGACUUGAGUACGGGAGAGGGAAGUGGAAUUCCGAGUGUAGGGGUGAAAUCCGUAGAUAUUCGGAGGAACACCGGUGGCGAAGGCGGCUUCCUGGACCGAUACUGACGCUGAGACGCGAAAGCGUGGGGAGCAAACAGG
rnacentral:rRNA from 1 species